UGUCUAUAGAGGGUCAGAAAGCUCUCAGAUUUCAAAAUGAUUUCUUAAUUUGUGAUCCGAAGAUGGACAAAGGUCUUAUGGGUUUGAAUGACGUGAGGGAACCCUCGCUCUACACUGUGAAGGCUGUUUUCAUCUUAGACAACGAUGGAAACAGACUUCUUUCAAAGUACUAUGAUCCAGAACUCUAUCCCUCGAUGAAAGAGCAGAAGAAUUUUGAAAAUAACGUCUUCAACAAAACACACAAAGCUGACAAUGAAAUAGCCUUCUUAGAGGGAAUGACGAUAGUCUACAAGAGCAGCAUUGACUUGUUCUUCUAUGUAGUUGGCAGCCCUCAGGAGAAUGAGCUCAUGCUGAUGGCAGUGUUGAACUGCUUGUUUGAGUCUCUCAGUCAGAUGUUGAGGAAGAAUGUGGAGAAAAGGACUCUGCUGGAUAAUAUGGAUGGAGUGUUCCUAGUGGUGGAUGAAAUCAUCGAUGGAGGGGUGAUCCUGGAGAGUGACCCCCAGCAGGUCAUUGAAAAGGUCAACUACAGGUGUUUGUCGGAGCAAGCGUAUGGCUUCGUCCUUUUUGAUUACAUCACUGGUAACGUGGAGGGCCAAGGAGAGAGGCGGCAGCUACUGUAGCUCUCCUUCCCUCCCUUCCCUCUCUCUCCCGUUGAUUUAGAGCUGGAUAGACACAGGAGAGAGAGAGAGAGACGAGGGCAGAUGACAGCCCAUUAUCAGAACAGAGUGUGGCACAGGUGUUACAAUCAGCAAAGGAGCAGAUCAAGUGGUCCGAU